AGAGAGAGAGAGAGAGAGAGAGAGAGAGAGAGAGAGAGAGAGAGAGAGAGAGAGAGAAUAUGUGUGUUAGUGGUAAAAUAUGUUAAUGUAGAAAUGUGAUAAAAGAGAGAGAGAGAGAGAGAGAGAUAUCUGCAACUUUUUUUUCUUUUUUUUACUUUCAUUCUUUCUUCUCUCCUCUCUCUCUCUCUCUCUCUCUUCCUUUUUCUCUCUUCUUCCUUCCUUCCAGAGAGAGAGAGAGAGUACCUACAAUUUUGCAUCAAUAAAAUUAUGUCAGAAUUAUUAUAAUAAGAACAUUCAUUUCUUCUACCUGUCUAAUAAUAAUAAUAAUAAUAAUAAUAACUAUUGUAUAUAAUCAAAAGUAAUGCUAAUAAUAACUACAAUUAUUAUUUAUUCAAUUUUAUUUCACUAAUUUUUAUUCAUUUUUUUCUGUCCUGACUUUGAAGAGUAUUGGAACCACUGUUAAGAGGUUCCAAUACUUCAUUUACCUUCAGUUUUUAUUGAUGUCAUUAACUCACUAAAGGUUUA